GCGGACGUGGUGCACGGGGCACGACUGCAUUCAAUGUUAGAUCUCCCGGCGAAUUGGAUUGCACGCAGUUAGACGGGGUUCGACUCCCCGCGUCCGCA